CAAUUUAUUAGACACAAGAUAGUACAUAUAGUCGCUUUGUUAACUCCGCCAUUUCUAACGGAUCUUUCGAAGCUCAAACAUUCAUUCUGCUAUAUCUAUCUCCUCCGCCCAUUUCUUCUCAAAAUCUAAUAAAAUGCAGUCUUCAAUUUCCCUCUCCUUCUCUUCGCCUUCCACAAUUUGCAGAUCCGACUGCAGCACAGCUGCCGUUGCCAACGGCAGUUUUCUCACGCCGCGAUCGCUUCGAUUCUGCGGACUGAGAAAAGAGGCGUUUAAGUCGUUGAAUUCGAGCCAUCCCAUUCGUCUUACAAGGCAUUGUUGUUCGAAUAACAACAGAAUAUCGGCUUCUUCCGCAAAUGGAGCUCCUUCUUCUUCUUCCAAGGCCAAGGGGGGCUUUGACUAUGAUUUGGUUAUCAUUGGAGCUGGUGUUGGUGGUCAUGGUGCUGCUCUUCACGCCGUCGAGAAGGGCUUAAAAACUGCCAUCAUUGAAGGGGAUGUUGUUGGAGGAACAUGUGUAAAUAGGGGAUGUGUUCCUUCCAAAGCCCUCCUAGCUGUGAGUGGCCGCAUGCGGGAGCUUCAGAAUGAACACCAUAUGAAAUCUUUCGGUUUACAGGUUGCUGCUGCUGGGUAUGAUAGACAGGCUGUUGCUGAUCAUGCAAAUAAUUUGGCCUCCAAGAUACGUGGUAACUUGACCAAUUCUAUGAAAGCCCUUGGCGUGGAUAUAUUGACUGGUUUUGGGACAGUUUUGGGUCCACAAAAAGUCAAAUACGGGGAUACUGUAAUGACAGCAAAAGAUAUCAUAAUUGCUACUGGCUCUGUCCCUUCUGUGCCCAAAGGCAUUGAGGUUGAUGGUAAGACUGUAAUAACUAGUGACCAUGCACUUAAAUUAGAAUUUGUACCCAACUGGAUUGCUAUUGUUGGAAGUGGUUACAUUGGACUAGAAUUUAGCGAUGUGUACACGGCACUUGGAAGUGAGGUUACCUUUGUUGAAGCUCUAGAUCAGCUCAUGCCUGGCUUUGAUCCUGAGAUUGGGAAACUGGCGCAGCGGGUUCUUAUCAAUCCUCGGAAGAUUGACUAUCAUACAGGUGUAUUUGCGAGCAAGAUAACUCCAGCAAGGGAUGGAAAGCCAGUGCUAAUUGAGCUUAUUGAUGCAAAGACGAAGGAACCAAAGGAUACUUUGGAAGUAGAUGCUGCUCUUAUUGCAACUGGAAGGGCUCCGUUUACGCAAGGACUUGGCCUGGAAAAUAUAAAUGUUCAAACACAACGUGGAUUUGUUCCUGUUGAUGAACGCAUGCAAGUCAUUGAUGCAAAUGGGCAGCUGGUUCCUCACUUGUACUGCAUUGGUGAUGCAAAUGGAAAAAUGAUGCUUGCACAUGCUGCAAGUGCACAAGGAAUCUCUGUUGUUGAGCAAGUUACCGGAAAGGACCAUAUCCUGAAUCAUUUAAGUAUUCCAGCAGCAUGCUUUACCCAUCCUGAAAUCAGUAUGGUCGGAUUGACGGAGCCUCAAGCGAGAGAAAAAGCUGAGAAGGAGGGCUUUGAAAUUAGUAUUGCCAAGACUAGUUUCAAGGCUAACACAAAAGCUCUUGCUGAAAAUGAAGGGGAAGGACUUGCAAAGUUGAUUUAUAGGCCUGACAACGGUGAGAUCCUCGGAGUCCACAUCUUUGGAAUGCAUGCUGCUGAUCUAAUACAUGAAGCAUCCAAUGCCAUAGCUCUGGGAUCACGCAUACAGGACAUUAAGUACGCUGUUCAUGCACAUCCAACCUUGUCUGAAGUGAUUGAUGAACUCUUUAAAUCAGCAAAGGUCUUUUUGUCCUGAGCAUGGAGAUCUUAAGCUAAUGAAUGGCGGGGUGAUAUUAAGGUCUUUUUGUCCUGAGCAUGGAGAUCUUAAGCUAAUGAAUGGCGGGGUGCUUACAAGAAUCCAGAGCCGCAUGUACAAGUUGCAGGUGGGGAGGUUAAAACUAACGCUUCUAGUCCAAUUGCUGAGCCAGUUGCAGCAUAAGCUUCAACAGCCGCUCUAAUUGAGACUUAAGUUAAUAGGAUUUUGCAGAAGCUCCCCAAUAGAAUUUAUUGGCUCUAUCUUCUCAUGUUGUGCAUUACCGCUUCAAAGAGGUGCUUUUUUCUAGCUUUUUUGAAUUGUAGACAUCAUUAAAUGCCUAAUGAGUGUCUCAGAAAUUCAAUUUUGUCUUCUUUAAGUUUAUUAGCUUAGAUUUGUGCUAGGUCUAGUUGCUUUUAAAUGAGCAACGAUAUCAAUAUGAAAGAUGAUCUGUAUUGUUUAAAUCGACAUUGGCAGUGUACAACUUUGAGUCACUGCUGCUGUUUGUGUACUGUACGAAUAUUGUAUGAGGAUUUAGUACGUACUAGAUACGAUAGUUGAAAUUUUA